rnacentral:rRNA from 1 species
AGAGUUUGAUCAUGGCUCAGGACGAACGCUGGCGGCGCGCCUAACACAUGCAAGUCGAACGAGCGAGAGAGAGCUUGCUUUCUCGAGCGAGUGGCGAACGGGUGAGUAACGCGUGAGGAACCUGCCUCAAAGAGGGGGACAACAGUUGGAAACGACUGCUAAUACCGCAUAAGCCCACAACCCGGCAUCGGGUAGAGGGAAAAGGAGAAAUCCGCUUUGAGAUGGCCUCGCGUCCGAUUAGCUAGUUGGUGAGGUAACGGCCCACCAAGGCGACGAUCGGUAGCCGGACUGAGAGGUUGAACGGCCACAUUGGGACUGAGACACGGCCCAGACUCCUACGGGAGGCAGCAGUGGGGAAUAUUGCACAAUGGGGGAAACCCUGAUGCAGCGACGCCGCGUGGAGGAAGAAGGUCUUCGGAUUGUAAACUCCUGUUGUUGAGGAAGAUAAUGACGGUACUCAACAAGGAAGUGACGGCUAACUACGUGCCAGCAGCCGCGGUAAAACGUAGGUCACAAGCGUUGUCCGGAAUUACUGGGUGUAAAGGGAGCGCAGGCGGGAAGGCAAGUUGGAAGUGAAAUCCAUGGGCUCAACCCAUGAACUGCUUUCAAAACUGUUUUUCUUGAGUAGUGCAGAGGUAGGCGGAAUUCCCGGUGUAGCGGUGGAAUGCGUAGAUAUCGGGAGGAACACCAGUGGCGAAGGCGGCCUACUGGGCACCAACUGACGCUGAGGCUCGAAAGUGUGGGUAGCAAACAGGAUUAGAUACCCUGAUAGUCCACACUGUAAACGAUGAUUACUAGGUGUUGGAGGAUUGACUCCUUCAGUGCCGCAGUUAACACAAUAAGUAAUCCACCUGGGGAGUACGACCGCAAGGUUGAAACUCAAAGGAAUUGACGGGGGCCCGCACAAGCAGUGGAGUAUGUGGUUUAAUUCGACGCAACGCGAAGAACCUUACCAAGUCUUGACAUCCUGCGACGCACAUAGAAAUAUGUGUUUCCUUCGGGACGCAGAGACAGGUGGUGCAUGGUUGUCGUCAGCUCGUGUCGUGAGAUGUUGGGUUAAGUCCCGCAACGAGCGCAACCCUUAUGGUCAGUUACUACGCAAGAGGACUCUGGCCAGACUGCCGUUGACAAAACGGAGGAAGGUGGGGAUGACGUCAAAUCAUCAUGCCCUUUAUGACUUGGGCUACACACGUACUACAAUGGCGUUAAACAAAGAGAAGCAAGACCGCGAGGUGGAGCAAAACUCAGAAACAACGUCCCAGUUCGGACUGCAGGCUGCAACUCGCCUGCACGAAGUCGGAAUUGCUAGUAAUCGCAGAUCAGCAUGCUGCGGUGAAUACGUUCCCGGGCCUUGUACACACCGCCCGUCACACCAUGAGAGCCGGGGGGACCCGAAGACGGUAGUCUAACCGCAAGGAGGACGCCGCCGAAGGUAAAACUGGUGAUUGGGGUGAAGUCGUAACAAGGUA